UCGGGAAUUUUGCUCAAUGGGGGAAACCCUGAAGCAGCAACGCCGCGUGAGGGAUGAAGGCCUUCGGGUUGUAAACCUCUUUUGUCAGGGACGAUGAUGACGGUACCUGGCGAAUAAGCCACGGCUAACUACGUGCCAGCAGCCGCGGUAAUACGUAGGUGGCAAGCGUUGUCCGGAUUUACUGGGCGUAAAGAGCGCGCAGGCGGUCUUGUAAGUCGAAUGUGAAAGCCCCUGGCUCAACCAGGGAGGGUCAUUCGAUACUGCUUGACUCGAAGGCAGGAGAGGGAAGUGGAAUUCCGGGUGUAGUGGUGAAAUGCGUAGAUAUCCGGAGGAACACCAGUGGCGAAGGCGACUUUCUGGCCUGUUCUUGACGCUGAGGCGCGAAAGCUAGGGGAGCAAACGGG
rnacentral:rRNA from 2 species